rnacentral:rRNA from 1 species
GACGAACGCUUUCUUCUUUCUUAACACCUGCAAGUCGAACGGAAAGGCCCUGCUUUUGUGGGGUGCUCGAGUGGCGAACGGGUGAGUAACACGUGAGUAACCUGCCCUUGACUUUGGGAUAACUUCAGGAAACUGGGGCUAAUACCGGAUAGGAGCUCCUGCUGCAUGGUGGGGGUUGGAAAGUUUCGGCGGUUGGGGAUGGACUCGCGGCUUAUCAGCUUGUUGGUGGGGUAGUGGCUUACCAAGGCUUUGCCUUUUAGCCGGCCUGAGAGGGUGACCGGCCACAUUGGGACUGAGAUACGGCCCAGACUCCUACGGGAGGCAGCAGUGGGGAAUAUUGCACAAUGGGCGGAAGCCUGAUGCAGCAACGCCGCGUGCGGGAUGACGGCAUUCGGGUUGUAAACCGCUUUCGCCUGUGACGAAGCGUGAGUGACGGUAAUGGGUAAAGAAGCAAAGGCUAACUACGUG